rnacentral:rRNA from 1 species
AUAGCUUUAGGGCUAGCCUCAAGGUGAGAGAUACGGAGGUAGAGCACUGAAUGUCCUAGGGGGUAUUGCACCUACCGAAGACUAUCAAACUCCGAAUGCCGUCAUCUUAUACUUGGGAGUCAGACUGUGGGUGAUAAGAUUCAUAGUCGAAAGGGCAACAGCCCAGAUCGUCAGCUAAGGUCCCUAAAUGUAAGUUAAGUGGUAAAGGAUGUGGGAUUGCACAGACAACCAGGAUGUUGGCUUAGAAGCAGCCACUCAUUCAAAGAGUGCGUAAUAGCUCACUGGUCGAGUGAUCCUGCGCCGAAGAUUUCCGGGGCUAAAACUUACUACCGAAGCUACGGCAUCAGUAAUGAUGGGUAGGGGAGCUUCCCAUACGGGUGGAAGCAUGACCGUAAGGACAUGUGGACAGUAUGGGAGUGAGAAUGUUGGCAUGAGUAGCGAGAUGUGGGUGGGAAUCCCACAGGCCGUAAACCCAAGGUUUCCAGGGGAAGGUUCGUCCACCCUGGGUUAGUCGGGACCUAAGCUGAGGCCGAAAGGCGUAGGUGAUGGACAACAGGUUGAUAUUCCUGUACUACCGAUAACCGUUUGAGAGAAGGGAUGACACAGUAGGAUAAGCUAAGCACACUGUUGGUUAUGUGUGCCCAAGCAUUGAGGCAGUCAAAGUAGGCAAAUCCGCUUUGAUAAUGCUGGGAUGUGAUGGGGAGCGAAAUUUAGUAGCGAAGUAGCUGAUUUCACACUGUCAAGAAAAGUCUCUAUCGAGGUUAAAGGUACCCGUACCGCAAACCGACACAGGUG